GGAGGGUUCGCAUAGUGGACGAGUGCAGGCGCCUUGAAAGCGCCCGGGCCUUCACGGGUCCCAUGGGUUCGAAUCCCAUACCCUCCG
rnacentral:tRNA from 1 species